rnacentral:rRNA from 1 species
GAUGAACGCUGACAGAAUGCUUAACGCAUGCAAGUCUUUGGCGAAGCUGUGCUUGCACAGCCUAGCCAAGGCGGACGGGUGAGUAACGCGUAAGGAACUUGCCCUGCAGUCAGGGAUAACAGACGGAAACGACUGAUAAGACCUGGUAAAGUCAGGCGGACUCAUGUCCAGCCUGAUGAAAAGAGAUGCUGCAGGAGAGCCUUGCGUCCUAUUAGCUUGUUGGUGGGGUAACGGCCCACCAAGGCGAUGAUAGGUAGCCGGCCUGAGAGGGUGGACGGCCACAAGGGGACUGAGAUACGGCCCUUACGCCUACGGGAGGCAGCAGUGGGGAAUAUUGGACAAUGGGGGCAACCCUGAUCCAGCAAUUCUGUGUGCACGAUGAAGGUUUUCGGAUUGUAAAGUGCUGUCAGCAGGGAAGAAAAAAAUGACGGUACCUGCAGAAGAAGCGACGGCUAAAUACGUG